rnacentral:rRNA from 1 species
AUUGAACGCUGGCGGCAGGCUUAACACAUACAAGUCGAGCGGAGAUGAGGUGCUUGCACCUUAUCUUAGCGGCGGACGGGUGAGUAAUGCUUAGGAAUCUGCCUAUUAGUGGGGGACAACAUUCCGAAAGGAAUGCUAAUACCGCAUACGUCCUACGGGAGAAAGCAGGGGAUCUUCGGACCUUGCGCUAAUAGAUGAGCCUAAGUCGGAUCAGCUAGUUGGUGGGGUAAAGGCCUACCAAGGCGACGAUCUGUAGCGGGUCUGAGAGGAUGGUCCGCCACACUGGGACUGAGACACGGCCCAGACUCCUACGGGAGGCAGCAGUGGGGAAUAUUGGACAAUGGGGGGAACCCUGAUCCAGCCAUGCCGCGUGUGUGAAGAAGGCCUUAUGGUUGUAAAGCACUUUAAGCGAGGAGGAGGCUACUGAGACUAAUACUCUUGGAUAGUGGACGUUACUCGCAGAAUAAGCACCGGCUAACUCUGUGCCAGCAGCCGCAGUAAAAC